GAUGAACGCUGGCGGCGUGCCUAAUACAUGCAAGUCGAGCGAACGGACGAGAAGCUUGCUUCUCUGAUGUUAGCGGCGGACGGGUGAGUAACACGUGGAUAACCUACCUAUAAGACUGGGAUAACUUCGGGAAACCGGAGCUAAUACCGGAUAAUAUUUUGAACCGCAUGGUUCAAAAGUGAAAGACGGUCUUGCUGUCACUUAUAGAUGGAUCCGCGCUGCAUUAGCUAGUUGGUAAGGUAACGGCUUACCAAGGCAACGAUGCAUAGCCGACCUGAGAGGGUGAUCGGCCACACUGGAACUGAGACACGGACCAGACUCCUACGGGAGGCAGCAGUAGGGAAUAUUCCGCAAUGGGCGAAAGCCUGACGGAGCAACGCCGCGUGAGUGAUGAAGGUCUUCGGAUCGUAAAACUCUGUUAUUAGGGAAGAACAUAUGUGUAAGUAACUGUGCACAUCUUGACGGUACCUAAUCAGAAAGCCACGGCUAACUACGUG
rnacentral:rRNA from 1 species